UACGGAGGGUGCGAGCGUUAUCCGGAAUUACUGGGUUUAAAGGGUGCGUAGGCGGCUUUGUAAGUCAGGAGUGAAAGUUUGCGGCUCAACCGUAAAAUUGCUUUUGAUACUGCGAAGCUAGAAUUAGGAUGAGGUCAGCGGAAUGUGGCAUGUAGCGGUGAAAUGCAUAGAUAUGCCAUAGAACACCAAUUGCGAAGGCAGCUGGCUAGACCUGGAUUGACGCUGAGGCACGAAAGCGUGGGGAGCGAACAGG
rnacentral:rRNA from 1 species